UGUGUGUGCUCUCUCUCUCUGACAAAUAAAAAAGUCUUUGGAAAAAAAAAGAUUCGGCAGCGGCCACUGUGCCGACCGGAGUUCACUUGCUCAUGCACCUUGCUCUGCUUCCUCUGCAACCAUGUCUGACAAACCCUACAUGGCUGAGAUUGAGAAAUUCGGUAAGUCGAAAUUGAAGAAGACAGAAACGCAAGAGAAAAAUCCACUACCUUCAAAAGAAACGAUUGAACGGAAGCAAGCAGGCAAAUCAUAAUGAGGCAUGUGCCGCCAAUAUGCACUGUACAUUCCACAAGCAUUGCCUUCUUUACUUCUUUUAGCUGUUUAACUUUGUAAGACGCACAGAGGUUGGAUCAAGUUUAAAUGACUGUGCUGCCCCUUUUCACAUCAAAGAACUACUGACAACAAAGGCGCCUGCCUCUCCCAUCAGCCUGUCUGGCUGGCAGGGAAGGAAAAGAACUUGCAUGUUGGUGAAGGAAGAAGCUGGGAGGGACGACUGUGAAAUCUAGAGUAAAAAUCAUGCUGGUCCAAGGUGUCCUGCAGGCUGUAAAAUGCAGUUUAAUCGGAGUGCCAUUAGUUUGUUCAAAUGAUUUUGAUUAUUGGAAUGCACAAUUUUUUAAAUAUGCAAUAAAAAGUUUUAAAACCUGAAAAAAAA